UUUUAUGAGAGUUUGAUCCUGGCUCAGGACGAACGCUGGCGGCGUGCCUAAUACAUGCAAGUCGAACGCUUCUUUUUCCACCGGAGCUUGCUCCACCGGAAAAAGAGGAGUGGCGAACGGGUGAGUAACACGUGGGUAACCUGCCCAUCAGAAGGGGAUAACACUUGGAAACAGGUGCUAAUACCGUAUAACAAUCGAAACCGCAUGGUUUUGAUUUGAAAGGCGCUUUCGGGUGUCGCUGAUGGAUGGACCCGCGGUGCAUUAGCUAGUUGGUGAGGUAACGGCUCACCAAGGCGACGAUGCAUAGCCGACCUGAGAGGGUGAUCGGCCACAUUGGGACUGAGACACGGCCCAAACUCCUACGGGAGGCAGCAGUAGGGAAUCUUCGGCAAUGGACGAAAGUCUGACCGAGCAACGCCGCGUGAGUGAAGAAGGUUUUCGGAUCGUAAAACUCUGUUGUUAGAGAAGAACAAGGUUGAGAGUAACUGUUCAUCCCUUGACGGUAUCUAACCAGAAAGCCACGGCUAACUACGUGCCAGCAGCCGCGGUAAUACGUAGGUGGCAAGCGUUGUCCGGAUUUAUUGGGCGUAAAGCGAGCGCAGGCGGUUUCUUAAGUCUGAUGUGAAAGCCCCCGGCUCAACCGGGGAGGGUCAUUGGAAACUGGGAGACUUGAGUGCAGAAGAGGAGAGUGGAAUUCCAUGUGUAGCGGUGAAAUGCGUAGAUAUAUGGAGGAACACCAGUGGCGAAGGCGGCUCUCUGGUCUGUAACUGACGCUGAGGCUCGAAAGCGUGGGGAGCAAACAGGAUUAGAUACCCUGGUAGUCCACGCCGUAAACGAUGAGUGCUAAGUGUUGGAGGGUUUCCGCCCUUCAGUGCUGCAGCUAACGCAUUAAGCACUCCGCCUGGGGAGUACGACCGCAAGGUUGAAACUCAAAGGAAUUGACGGGGGCCCGCACAAGCGGUGGAGCAUGUGGUUUAAUUCGAAGCAACGCGAAGAACCUUACCAGGUCUUGACAUCCUUUGACCACUCUAGAGAUAGAGCUUCCCCUUCGGGGGCAAAGUGACAGGUGGUGCAUGGUUGUCGUCAGCUCGUGUCGUGAGAUGUUGGGUUAAGUCCCGCAACGAGCGCAACCCUUAUUGUUAGUUGCCAUCAUUUAGUUGGGCACUCUAGCAAGACUGCCGGUGACAAACCGGAGGAAGGUGGGGAUGACGUCAAAUCAUCAUGCCCCUUAUGACCUGGGCUACACACGUGCUACAAUGGGAAGUACAACGAGUCGCAAAGUCGCGAGGCUAAGCUAAUCUCUUAAAGCUUCUCUCAGUUCGGAUUGUAGGCUGCAACUCGCCUACAUGAAGCCGGAAUCGCUAGUAAUCGCGGAUCAGCACGCCGCGGUGAAUACGUUCCCGGGCCUUGUACACACCGCCCGUCACACCACGAGAGUUUGUAACACCCGAAGUCGGUGAGGUAACCUUUUGGAGCCAGCCGCCUAAGGUGGGAUAGAUGAUUGGGGUGAAGUCGUAACAAGGUAGCCGUAUCGGAAGGUGCGGCUGGAUCACCUCCUUUCUAAGGAA
rnacentral:rRNA from 1 species